GAAGGCAGCUGUUGAACCGACUCAGCCCUGAGGCACCAGACCUACUAAACUGGAAAAUGUCAAAUUCCUUCUCCUUUGGUGCCACAUGAAUGUUACCUGCAACAAUGAGGUGCAAAAAUCCCAAACCACAUCAAGACAUCAGCCAGCAUGGCUUCCCCUGAAGACAAGGAUUAAUCUUAUCUUCUGUAUGUCAUAUAUGUGAGCUACUGUCAGUUUCUGACCAAAGUGUUAUUAAAUCUGGACAUUAUUUGUCAAUGAAGAUUACCUUUGGUCACAUUAAGCUUGGCGGUCCUUUAUAUAGAUCUGCUGGCUUGCUCUCUCUCUCGCUCUCUUUUCUUCUUCCUCUCCCUCUCUCAGCUCAGCUUUCUGAAAUUUUCUGCUGAAUCAACAUAUUCACUUCUCUUUGGGGCAGGGAAAUAGACCGCACAGUUGGAAAGAGAGUGAAUAGAGGUGUGAGUAGAAUGUGUAAGUAGAAAAUUACUUUUUAAAUGGCAAAGGACUCUGCUCAGAGAAAGAAAACAUAAAUUCAAGCCCCAGCUUUCUGGAGAGCUUUAUCCAAGUUACUUACGGCCUCAGUUUCCUCAUCUGUAAAGUGAGUGACUUAGAUCUCUACUGCCCCUUCCAACUCUAUGAUUCUACAACAAAUAAAUAAAUAAUAAAUCUAUAGCUUCAAUCAUUAGUACUAAGACCUUGACCUUAGAGACAUAUAUAUGUUUCAUGAAGAAACUCAUCUGAUUCCAAGCAGAGUGACUCCCUAGAAGGAUCUCACAAAUGGAAGGUGGAAAAUCCACAUUGAAAUCCAAGAUUAUUCCCACGUGUGACUCUGAUCUCCAAAGAUAUAUUUGCUGCCUAUAAUAGAAGAGCCCUUCCCUGGGACAGAGCCACUUUCAGUCUUCAUUCUGGAGUCCCAUCUGAAUCAUUCUCUCUCUUCCUCUCUCUCCAUCUCCAUUUGCCAGGUCCCACACGACAACGCUUUCCCUCCCUCCCCCAAGAACACCAGAGAAAGCCUGUCCUCAAGAGCCACAAAAGCCUUCCCUGAAACCUGAUCUUGAGGGCGGGGACCCUGAUCCUUGGUUAGGCAGCCCUCUGCAGUGACCCAGUUUUUAAUAACUUCCUCCCCAGUGAUCAGGUUCUGCGCACAGAUAGCAGGGCUGCUGCGGGGAGGGGCCAGCUGCAAUAUUGAUUCUGUCUUUCUCUCCUGGGGCUCCUGCUGCCAUCAAGACCAAUGGCUUGCAAGCCAGUGUUCAGAAACACCUUUCAGCCUCAGCCCGGUUCACAGAGGGGAAGGCUCUGCCAAGAACUGGUGACAGUCACUGCUUGAGUGGUGCUUUCAAAGCUGCUGUCCACGUGUUGAUGCCCCACCGAGACUCAAACCACAGGCCACUCUACCAAGUCCCCGGGCCCUGCCCCUGCCUGCAUUCUCACAUCCACCUUGUAGCUGAUGGAAGUUUUGCCUACAAGCUAGUUAGCUCCUCGUGAUUUGACUUGCUACAUAUUUAAUGCAUUUUUAAAAUAGAUACUGAAUGUCAUUUCCAUGGCUAUUUCAGAUUAUUGAUGGCACGUUUUCUUUUAAAUAAAACUUUUAUAUGUAUAAAUGAUUUAUUUAACAUGGGGCAGAUUUUAUUCCCAGGAGAGUAGAGGUUCUAAGUCUUAUUUGCUGUUCUUCUCUGGCACAGCGUAGUAGGAAACCGCAGAAACUGUGCUUGGAAUACAGACAUCUGAAAAACAUUUGAUUUUCAUCAUAUUUCUUAAAAUUUUACUAGUAGCUGAAGACUCUUAUCAGUCCAUAAUCAUAAAUGGACCAGAACAUGAAAUAGCUGUGAGAGCUAAGAAAAACAUUCUAGUUGGAACAAGUUCAUUCUUAGAAAACAACGUCUGUUCUAACUUGGAGGAAAAUUAAAAUAUCUAUAGACACUGGGAAAUAUUUUUAAAGACAAAUCGUAUUUUUUUCGGUUCUCUCUCUGAACACCAGUCAGGUCAGUUGUUCAGAUAUUUGAAUGGAUUCGAAAUGAGUGCAUGAGUCCUCUUUCCAAAAGGAUGUUUGUCGCAAAAGAAAAUGCCUUUUCUGAAACAUUUCCUACACUCAGUCUCCUAGAGCCCCAACCAAGUCCAAGCUGGGAAGUGUCCUAACAUCGAGCCCGCCAGCAAGUUGACAGCACAACUGACUUUAGGAGCUUUGGCACUUUGAACAUUUAAAAUUCAUUCUGGCUAGAACUAUGAUGUAGAAGGACACAUGGAAAGAAUUUUGUGUGAAUAUUAGGCAUUUGCUUAUACUGUGAAGCUUUGAUGGUCAAAACAUGGUUAUUAAUUAGCUAAGACAUGCAAUACAUAAAAAAUGCAAAUGUCACAAAAGAAGAUAGAGUCUCCCUGAUUCUCCUCUAAUACCGGCUAAGGCAAAAACUAUCAGUUUCUUGCAUCCCUCUCCAAAGAUAAUAUGUAUGUGUGUAUAGACAUGUUAAAAGGUGGUAGUAUAUUGAACACGUGGUUUGUGCGCCUUGCUUUUCUUCACUUAGUUUGUCUUGGAGCUCAACAUCAUUCUUUUUAAUGACUGCAAAACAUUCUUUGCUAUGGAUAUUCUAGAAUUUGCUGAUGAACUUUUGGGUUGUUUGCAGUCUUUUAGAUUAUAAGCUGUGCUGUGGUGAAAUCCUUACACACACACACACACACACACACACACACACGUGUGUGUGUAUUCAUGCGUAAGUGCCAUUAUUCCUAUAGACAAAAGUCCUAGAAGUGGGGUUGUUGGGCCAAAGGACAGUGCAUUUUAAACUUUGGUAGAUACUGCAAUGUUGACCUCUUCAGACACAACCAAUUUACCAUCAUUCCCUGUAUAUCUCCUCCCACUCAAAAA